rnacentral:rRNA from 1 species
UAUGGCUCAGGAUGAACGCUGGCGGCGUGCUUAACACAUGCAAGUUGUGCGGUGAUCUCAAGAAGUUUCGGACGGAAAGGGAGAGCAGCAGCGGACGGGUGAGUAAAGCACAAGGACUUGUCCCGAAGAGGGGGACAACUGUGGGAAACCACAGCUAAUACCCCAUAAGCCGAGAGGUGAAAGCAGUAAUGCGCUUUAGGAGAGACUUGUGUCCUAUCAGGUAGUUGGUGAGGUAACGGCUCACCAAGCCGAAGACGGGUAGCCGGACUGAGAGGUUGUACGGCCACAUUGGAACUGAGAGACGGUCCAGACUCCUACGGGAGGCAGCAGUGGGGAAUAUUGGGCAAUGGGGGGCCAACCCUGACCCAGCGACGCCGCGUGAGGGAAGACAGCCUUCGGGUUGUAAACCUCUGUUGCAGGGGAAGAAGAAAGUGACGGUACCCUGCGAGGAAGCUCCGGCAAACUACGUGCCAGCCGCCGC